GGUGAAAAAUGCAAGGCUCUCUAUUUCUAGGGAACCUUGGAGAACCUGAGUCUUACAGUGGCCAGAAUUCUAGGGCCAGGGUGGUGGAUGUAAUUUUGUGUCUUUAUUGAAAGCCAAAUACUUUAAGAAGUUUAAAAGAUUUUCAAAAUAAAGGUGAGGGAAGCACAGGGCCUCACCAUGCAAGGUGACCCACUUGAGACAGUCCACUCACUGUCAUAACAGGAAGCUCUUGAGACACUGAGGGAAGACAGCCCAGGGCAGAACAAAGAAGAGCUGGCGCUUCUUUUCCCUCUUGUUAGAAGACUUUUUUAAAAAGUAGCCUGGCUUGCAUGGACCUUGUUUUCUGAACAGCUUCAGGAUGCAGUUGUGGUAGAUGUUUAGUGACUAGCCAGGAUUGAUGGUUUCCCACCAUUUUAAACCAAGUAACCCUCAACUCAAAUUCACUUUGAAGUUGGAUAGGAAUUUAGGAUCUUUAGUAAGAAGUGUAGAACAUUCCCCAGCACUUAGAAGGUGGAGGUACGUCCAUCACAGGAGAUGUUCCCUUGUCUCCGUUUGUCUGUGCCCUUCAUGGAGAUUAGCAGCUGGCUAACAU
rnacentral:lncRNA from 1 species